AUAUGAACGCAUCCGCAAAGUGAUUGAUUACAAAAAGUAUUUCACGAUUCCGCGACUUCUCGAUGCUGACAAGGGUUUGAGCAACUAGGAUAACACCUCGUGCUGAUCGAUGAGUCUAAGCGGUUGGGACGAAUACUCGAUGCCGAAACCGGAAAUUAUAACAUUCAUCACCGAUAUUACAAAGAUGACCACCAAAAUGAUAUCGUUCAAUAUUAUUGCUGCCGUCUGGUCUUGCUGCUUGUUAAUAUUCAGACUGCCGAUGGCCACAAACAGAAUUCCGACCAAUAGCUGUGUAAAAUUAAAAUUGAAAUUUGAGUUAAGAAUGCGACGAAUUUCCCCAAUCACACAAACAGUUGUUCGCCUUGCGGCGGGGGCAGGCGACUAUCAAAUGCCG